GGGCGCAUAGCUCAGUUGGUAGAGCAGCUGACUCUUAAUCAGCGGGUCCUAGGUUCGAGCCCUAGUGCGUCCACCA
rnacentral:tRNA from 1 species